CUGCCCUCAAGCACGGCUUGUGUGUUGGGCCCCGUCCUCCCCCUCCCGGGGGGACGGGCCCGAAAGGCAGCGGCGGCACCGCGUCCGGUCCUCGAGCGUAUGGGGCUUUGUCACCCGCUCUGUAGGCCCGGCCGGCGCCGGCCAACCCCCCAACCUUCUUCUUCA
rnacentral:misc_RNA from 1 species